rnacentral:rRNA from 1 species
GACGAACGCUGGCGGCGUGCUUAACACAUGCAAGUCGAACGGAAAGGCCCUGCUUUUGUGGGGUGCUCGAGUGGCGAACGGGUGAGUAACACGUGAGUAACCUGCCCUUGACUUUGGGAUAACUUCAGGAAACUGGGGCUAAUACCGGAUAGGAGCUCCUGCUGCAUGGUGGGGGUUGGAAAGUUUCGGCGGUUGGGGAUGGACUCGCGGCUUAUCAGCUUGUUGGUGGGGUAGUGGCUUACCAAGGCUUUGACGGGUAGCCGGCCUGAGAGGGUGACCGGCCACAUUGGGCCUGAGAGACGGACCAGACUCCUACGGGAGGCAGCAGUGGGGAAUAUUGCACAAUGGGCGGAAGCCUGAUGCAGCAACGCCGCGUGCGGGAUGACGGCCUUCGGGCUGUAAACCGCUUUCGCCUGUGACGAAGCGUGAGUGACGGUAAUGGGUAAAGAAGCACCGGCUAACUACGUG